rnacentral:rRNA from 1 species
GACGAACGCUGGCGGCGUGCUUAACACAUGCCAGUCGAACGGAAAGGCCCUGCUUUUGUGGGGUGCUCGAGUGGCGAACGGGUGAGUAACACGUGAGUAACCUGCCCUUGACUUUGGGAUAACUUCAGGAAACUGGGGCUAAUACCGGAUAGGAGCUCCUGCUGCAUGGUGGGGGUUGGAAAGUUUCGGCGGUUGGGGAUGGACUCGCGGCUUAUCAGCUUGUUGAUGGGGUAGUGGCUUAUCAAGGCUUUGACGGGUAGCCGGCCUGAGAGGGUGACCGGCCACAUUGGGACUGAGAUACGGCCCAGACUCCUACGGGAGGCAGCAGUGGGGAAUAUUGCACAAUGGGCGGAAGCCUGAUGCAGCAACGCCGCGUGCGGGAUGACGGCCUUCGGGUUGUAGACCGCUUUCGCCUGUGACGAAGCGUGAGUGACGGUAAUGGGUAAAGAAGCACCGGCUAACUACGUG